rnacentral:rRNA from 1 species
UGGGGAAUUUUGCGCAAUGGGGGAAACCCUGACGCAGCGACACCGCGUGAAGGAUUGAAGGUCUUAGGAUUGUAAACUUCUGUUAAGUGGGAAGAAAGAGCACUAUUUAAAAGAUGGUGAAGAUGACGGUACCACUAGAGAAAGCACCGGCUAACUUCGUGCCAGCAGCCGCGGUAAUACGAAGGGUGCAAGCGUUAUUCGGAGUUAUUGGGCGUAAAGAGCGCGUAGGCGGCUCGUUAAGUCAACUGUUAAAUCUCCCGGCCCAACCGGGAACAAGCAGUCGAAACUGGCAGGCUAGAGUGUAAGAGAGAGAAGUAGAAUUCUCGGAGUAGCGGUAAAAUGCGUAGAUCUCGAGAGGAAUACCGGUUGCGAAGGCGGCUUCUUGGCUUACAACUGACGC